GAAACGUUGUUUAGCACACAUAACACAAGAAAAUGUGCCAUUAAGCAUCAAUUUCUGCUCAACAUCCUUUGAGAAGGAAGUCUAUGAAGAUUUUGUUAGACGAAUACCAUUCUCGGGAAAGAGCCCUAGAGUUGUGGAGAUAUACGAAACAUGGGUGGACCACAGGACUUUUGGACUAUCAAUGCGCGUGAAUGGUCAUAUAUCAGAACAUUGUAUGAACAUGAUGGGCCAAGCUAUUAUGUCAGAAGGGAAUGAUGCAGCUUUCGACAUGCAUGUAUUGCAUUCCGAAUAUGC